rnacentral:lncRNA from 1 species
UGUGAUUGCAGAAAAUAGGAGAACACAAGCCAAGGGAGGCGAUUCCGAACCAAUUCUAUUACUAGGGGGCUUUCUUCGUGAUCAAAGAGGGCGCAUGAGCCAGCCUGAGUAAGUCCUGAACCCACCUUAAAUUCUUGUCUCAUCAGUUGGUUAUACCUGCCCUUGUUCUUGAACAAGGUUCUCUAGAGAGCGAUCUCAAAACGCCCCGGGUCUCCUUGAAACCUGAGACGCUUGCUGCCCGAUCAUCCAGAUCUGAAGGGCAAGAUCGAGGCACCUGACCAGCUCUCUCUCCAGAAGGGCAUAAGGAGAGGGUCUUGUCUUUAAGGCCACUACUUAUCGAAUACCCCAAAGCGCACUGGGGAUGUGUGUGUGUGUGUGAGGGCAUUACGAAGUGGGAUACCCACUUUUCAUUGUCCUCUAUCCUGAACGAGAGUAGAGGUUCCAUCCUACAGGAUUAGCUUGACUUAAUCGAUGGAACUUCUAUUUCAGGAGUAGGCUUCUCUAGCUCUCAUUGUGUGAAACUGUGAACUGUAAUCUUACUAUCUGCUUAAAAUGAAAUGAUUUAUGAUUUAUGCACUGCAUGUUCCUGAUUAUUAAACUAUGUUUAUCCUUAUAAUGUAAGAGUAUAAUAGAGGAAACUUUCUUGAUAUCUCUGUAAAUUAAUGAGCAAUGUUAACUGCUAUCACUGUUUAUAGAGUUGAAAUGCAAGGGUGUAGAUCUGCUUACUGGGUAUUAACUCAUUCCAUUUUUAUUCCCAUGAUUGUAGAGUGAUAGUCUUGAUAUGAAGGAUGGACAGUGGGCUUGCAUGUCAAACGUGUGAAGCUUGGAGUUUUGGAAAACGGAUCCUGAAGAAGUUUUUCAUGGUAGGUGUUUAGUGGUUGUGCCGCUGAGAUGUUUUGUAACUCUGUUUUGUGGGCUAGUAGUGCCUUGAAC